AGAGUUUGAUUCCUGGCUCAGAACGUACGCUGGCGGCACGCCUAACACAUGCAAGUCGAACGAAGUAGCAAUACUUAGUGGCAGACGGGUGAGUAACAUGUAGGUAUCUGCCCUUUGGCCUGGAAUAACACGAGGAAACUUGUGCUAAUACCGGAUAAGUCUUUACGGAGAAAGCUUUAUGCACCAUUGGAUGAGCCUGCACUUGAUUAGUUUGUUGGUGGGGUAAUGGCCUACCAAGACUGUGAUCAAUAGCUGAUUUGAGAGGAUGAUCAGCCACAUUGGGACUGAGACACGGCCCAAACUCCUACGGGAGGCAGCAGUGGGGAAUCUUGCACAAUGGAGGAAACUCUGAUGCAGCGAUGCCGCGUGAGUGAAGAAGGCCCUUGGGUUGUAAAGCUCUUUCGUCGGGGAAGAAAAUGACUGUACCCGAAUAAGAAGGUCCGGCUAACUUCGUGCCAGCAGCCGCGGUAAUACGAAGGGACCUAGCGUAGUUCGGAAUUACUGGGCUUAAAGAGUUCGUAGGUGGUUGAAAAAGUUAGUGGUGAAAUCCCAGAGCUUAACUCUGGAACUGCCAUUAAAACUUUUCAGCUAGAGUAUGAUAGAGGAAAGCAGAAUUUCUAGUGUAGAGGUGAAAUUCGUAGAUAUUAGAAAGAAUACCAAUUGCGAAGGCAGCUUUCUGGAUCAUUACUGACACUGAGGAACGAAAGCAUGGGUAGCGAAGAGGAUUAGAUACCCUCGUAGUCCAUGCCGUAAACGAUGUGUGUUAGACGUUGGAAAUUUAUUUUCAGUGUCGCAGGGAAACCGAUAAACACACCGCCUGGGGAGUACGACCGCAAGGUUAAAACUCAAAUGAAUUGACGGGGACCCGCACAAGUAGUGGAGCAUGUGGUUUAAUUCGAAGAUACGCGCAGAACCUUACCAACACUUGACAUGUUCGUCGCGACUCUAAGAGAUUAGAGUUUUCGGUUCGGCCGGACGAAACACAGGUGCUGCAUGGCUGUCGUCAGCUCGUGUCGUGAGAUGUUGGGUUAAGUCCCGCAACGAGCGCAACCCUCACUUUUAGUUGCCAUCAUUAAGUUGGGCACUCUGAAAGAACUGCCAGUGAUAAGCUGGAGGAAGGUGGGGAUGACGUCAAGUCCUCAUGGCCCUUACGUGUUGGGCUACACACGUGCUACAAUGGUAUCUACAACAGGAAGCAAGACUGCGAAGUUAAGCAAAUCCCUAAAAGAUACCUCAGUUCGGAUUGCACUCUGCAACUCGAGUGCAUGAAGCUGGAAUUACUAGUAAUCGUGGAUCAGCGUGCCACGGUGAAUGCGUUCCCGGGUCUUGUACACACCGCCCGUCACACCAUGGGAGUUGGUUCUACCUUAAGGCAAGGUUUCAAACCCUUGACCACGGUAUAGUCAGCGACUGGGGUGAAGUCGUAACAAGGUAACCGUA
rnacentral:rRNA from 1 species